CCCUUAGAUGUCCUGGGCUGCACGCGCGCUACACUGAUGUGUCCAGUAAGCACCUAACCUCUUCCGAAAGGAACGGGUAACCUUUGCAAAGCACAUCGUGAUGGGGAUAGAUUAUUGCAAUUAUUAGUCUUGAGCGAGGAAUUCCUAGUAAGCGCAAGUCAUCAACUUGCGUUGAUUACGUCCCUGCCCUUUGUACACACCGCCCGUCGCUACUGCCAACUGAGAUGGGUCCUGAAUUGUUAGGAACGCCCGUCAAGGGGCCUACCCGGUCCCUAGUGCGGUGACGAGAAUAACUGUAAAUGGCAUAUCUUGUAGGGAGUAAAAGUCGUAACA
rnacentral:rRNA from 1 species